CCUACGGGUGGCAGCAGUGGGGAAUUUUCGGCAAUGGGGGCAAGCCUGAACGAGCGAUGCCGCGUGAGUGAAGAAGGCCUUCGGGUCGUAAAGCUCUGUUGCGGGGGAGAAAAGGCAGCAGCAGGAAAUGGUUGCUGACUGAUGGUGCCCCGCCAGGAAGUCACGGCUAACUACGUGCCAGCAGCCGCGGUAAUACGUAGGGUGCAAGCGUUGUCCGGAUUUAUUGGGCGUAAAGCGAGUGCAGGCGGUGCAAUAAGUGUGAUGUGAAAGCCUUCGGCUCAACCGGAGAAUUGCAUCAGAAACUGUUGAACUUGAGUGCAGAAGAGGAGAGUAGAACUCCAUGUGUAGCGGUGGAAUGCGUAGAUAUAUGGAAGAACACCAGUGGCGAAGGCGGCUCUUUGGUCUGGAACUGACGCUGAGGCUCGAAAGCAUGGGUAGCGAACAGGAUUAGAUACCCCUGUAGUC
rnacentral:rRNA from 1 species